CCUACGGGUGGCAGCAGUGAGGAAUAUUGGUCAAUGGGCGCGAGCCUGAACCAGCCAAGUAGCGUGAAGGAUGACUGCCCUACGGGUUGUAAACUUCUUUUAUAAAGGAAUAAAGUGAGGCACGUGUGCCUUUUUGUAUGUACUUUAUGAAUAAGGAUCGGCUAACUCCGUGCCAGCAGCCGCGGUAAUACGGAGGAUCCGAGCGUUAUCCGGAUUUAUUGGGUUUAAAGGGUGCGUAGGCGGAUUUUUAAGUCAGCGGUAAAAUGUCCGGGCUCAACCCGGGCCGGCCGUUGAAACUGGGGAUCUUGAGUGGGCGAGAAGUAUGCGGAAUGCGUGGUGUAGCGGUGAAAUGCAUAGAUAUCACACAGAACACCGAUUGCGAAGGCAUCUCACGAAUCCGCGAUUGACGCUGAUGCACGAAAGCGUGGGUAUCAAACAGGAUUAGAUACCCGAGUAGUC
rnacentral:rRNA from 1 species